CUCUGCCCUUCCUCCGUCCUCCCCCCCCCUCCGCCGGUCGGCAGCCAAGGCAACGCCCACCCACGCCGAAAAUGGCCCGGCCGACCCUACCUAGGGCAGGGGCUGGGGUUGGGGUUCAGGGGUUGGGAGGGAGGAUGGAGCGAGGAGGACACGACCGAUCGAUCGAUACCACCAGCACCGGAAAAUAACGGCGAGGGGAGGAGGCAGGCGGGUGAGAUGACGAACGAAAACCCGCGGCACCACCACCUACCAACCAACCAAGGGAAGGCGAGGAACAACUGCGGGCCGAGUCCGGGUGCUCUCUCUCGUCUCGUCUCGCUCGCUCGCUCGCUCGCCGCCCCAUCAUGGUGACCCACGGUGACGUAGUAGGCAGGAGGCAGGGGUUGUCCUGUCUCUUUCCCCCUCUCUCUCCGUCCGUCUCCGACGGUGCGUCACCCGCGCGGUAUUUCCUGGCCCGACGCCCGCCCGCCCGCCCGCCUGCCUGCCUGCCUCAGGUGGCUCUAGGCCCUCGGUCGCGGCGCUCUAGGCGACGGCCUAAGCGGGCGGCCGACGGCGCGGAGGGGGGGCGAUUUCGAGCCAGGAAACCCCCCUGCCGCACCACCACCACCACUUGACCACCACCGCGGAGCCGAACCAGCACACCCGCAGGGGUACCGCGCCUGCGCGAGCGACCUGCGCCCGCUGCUCCUCAAGAAGCUGAGGUCCCUCUGGUAGAGCGGCGGGAGGCAGCGGAGCGGCCGGUCGAGGCCGGCGGUGUCGCCGCGGCCGCUGCCGCUGCCGCAAAACGAGACGCCGCCCCGGGACGAGCUCCAGACCCGGUGCCCGGGGAAGUCGCAGCUCCUCGCGGCGCUCGCCAAGCAGGCGAGGGACCCGGAGGACCUAGGCCCUCUUAGCCCCGGCGCGGGCUACGGGGCGCGGUCGAACCUCUAGCAGGACCGGUCGGGGCGGCGCCGCGGCCGGAGCGGGCGGGGAGCAGAGCGCGCGCCCCGACGGCCCCUCCCCCUCCUCCGCCCCCGCGGGCCGGCUUCGCCGCCGCCGCCGCCGCCGCUCCUGCCGGACCUCACGCACAAGUUCUUGGACCUGCUGCCGUGCCAGAAGCAGCAGGUGCUCGACCCGUUCCUGCCGUCGAAGGCCUCGGAGGCCCUCGCGGCGAGGUUGGCCUGGCAGUGGCGGCGCCUUAAGCUCUCCUAGAGGCCGAGGAGGGGCAAGUAGGCGCUCUACUACGCGGCCCACCUGCUGAGGAGCCUGCUCGGGAGGUGGGGCCUCUUCAGCUCCGCGGCCUCCUCCGCCGCCAAGCCCACCGAGGCCUCCGACCCGCAGCCGCGGACGCAGCAGCUGCGACUCCUGCUGCUGCUCCGCUUAAGGUGGAGGAGGUCGAGGACGGCCUCGACGCGGCCCUUCGGGCCCUUCCGGCAACUGUCCCAGUUCCAGUCCGGUAUGUUCUUCGCCAGUUUCCUUAACAGUCGCCACAUGUCCCCGGUUCUGUAGUCCCGCGUGUUCCCGCGGUAACACCGGUACUUCAAGUCGAGGCUGCCCGUCAUGGACCGGUGGCCUCCGCUCCUGCCCCACCACGCGCACACCGCCCACCACCUCCCGCUCUCCGGGCUGCUCGAGCUGAAGCGGCUCCUGCUAGGCAGCACGCAGAAGAAGUGACAGUUACUCUUGAGACUUGACCGAGGACAGUUGAGCUCGCUUCCCUGGUUCUCGUUUGUCCUGUUCUCGAGUUUCCCCGUUCGUCUAGGCCGGACGCAACACUAGGGAGUGGCCUGGAAACGCGACAGAGUCCAGGGACACGUACUUAAGAUACCCGUACUACUACGGUAGAACCUAGAGAGUACCAGGUUUUUACCCCUGAACUAAAGACGUAGAUACCUAUUUUGACGAGCUGACACCGCCCAGCCCACGUUAUCAACAGAGUUCCAAAAGAUGGUGUUAUUGAUGCACUGUACGCAAGUCAAAGUGGGAUGCUCACUGUUAAUAAAAUAGUCGCCGACGUAGCUGCCCAACCAAGCGUAAACCCUACAAGCAUUUACGGAUCACCAUCUGACCCGAUUGUCGUUUCUCUAUUAGUGGCGUCAGACAAUGGCCGGACUACCUUUCCCCCAUCACCAACCCUGGUAUUGUCCUUUAACGGCGAUGAUGCUACGUAGUCUUUUAGCAGAUCUUGACCUUAGAGUCCAGAGAGACUUACCGUCUUUCUUCAGAGGUGAAUUUUCUUAUCAACCAAAGGUCAUGACGGGUAGACUAGGUUUCUUCAACUACCAUUGUAGACCACUGAGUGUUCAAGCGUAAGAACUACCCCAAGUACAUUAAAGGUUGAUGUUUCCAAAUGUUUCGAGUUCGGUUCAACGGCGUAGUAAAUGGGGUCUGCCUCUAGUGUAAUAGAGACGAUCGCUGCUAAGGGCAUAGAUGUACACCUUAGUACACUUGGUUGAACGGGGUCAGUGUUCGGCGCACUUCUGUCACACCAGUAUGCUCGCAAAAAAGUCGUUGCUACGGAGGUAGCGGUAUGGCACCUUGCGGAGUGUCAGUUCCUUGAGAUAAAGUGACCGGACGUUGUAGGGCAGAAACGCCGUUCUUCAGAGCCCGCUGGAGACGCUGUAUGUCCUGUCGUCGUGUAGUGCGACGGUCUGACUUCUAACGGAACUUCUACUGUUGUACAAGGCCAAUGGUAGCCCGUUAAAGUGAGACUCGUCCCGCAAGGAACGCCUCAGACGAGGUUCCCCUUGUCGGUGAACCGGCCUCCUCGUAGACCGUAGGUUGAGGUGCUGCCGCAGAUGCAACGCAUUUAGAGUCAUGUUCAAGGACUUCCGCAGAACGGUCUUACGUCGGUGUGUACGGACCCCGGUCCAGUAUCAGUGGCGUUCGACCCUACCGGUGUAGUCCAGUAAGGUCUUGAUACCGAACGGCCACGUUCAAACUGUAGCGCAGAAGAGCCGUAACGAAGUAGCCACCUAAAGGGUCUUCGCUCCGCGGAGCUCUUCGGACCGACCGGGCUCGAACUGCGGGCAGGUCUAUAUGACAACGCCAUGUUACGCAGUGUACCGACCAAAGAACACGAUUGUACGAACACCUGGUAUUCAACAUACAUCGGGCCCACCAGGAGGUUCUAGGGCGGUCGUAGCUGCGUCCGGGGGAACCCUUCUUCUGCCUACGUAAGGAACCGACUUAAUACGUUUAGGAACACCAUCCCAGACCCAUGGUUCCGGAGAAACUACGGAAGUAAAACCGACAAAGCCUCGGGAGCACACGACCACUCCACACCACCUGUACCGGUCCACCCCCACCACGUCAACGUCAACCCAGAGGAGACUACCCUAGGGAUUGAGGUCCCUGGUCGGACCCGGACCCGAGGUCCCCAUACCAAUACCAUACCACCAUACCCCGAGUAGAUAGAGAGUGAGUGAGUGAGUACGAACGGACAGAGGAAGAGUUAUGGAAACUAACUAAUUUCGACCGACCCACUCACUCACGAGUCUAGAACUGGGAAAAAUGGAGGACGUAGCGUAACGGUACGGGGAGAGAGUGAAUAAUAAACCGUCACCGUCACUACUAUAGGACUGAAGUGGUUCCACUUUGACCG
rnacentral:rRNA from 1 species